rnacentral:ncRNA from 1 species
UUGAGCUGUAUGCGGGGAAACUCGCACGUACAGUUCUUAGGGGAGGGGCAGCCAGUAAUGGCCGCCUCUUACCCGAC